UACGAGGGGUGCAAGCGUUAUUCGGAUUAAUUGGGCGUAAAGGGUGCGUAGACGGUUUGUUAAGUCACUUGUUAAAUUCUUCAGCCUGACUGAAGGUAUGCGAGUGAUACUGGCGAACUAGAGGAUGGAAGAGAGAAGUGGAAUUCUCGGAGUAGCGGUAAGAUGCGUAGAUCUCGAGAGGAACACCAAUGGCGAAGGCAGCUUCUUGGUCCAUUCCUGACGUUCAGGCACGAAAGCGUGGGGAGCAAACAGG
rnacentral:rRNA from 1 species